rnacentral:lncRNA from 1 species
GACAGGGCUGGUGACUUUACAGUUCUCCUGUUGAGACUCUACUCUUCUGUGACAUGACAUUUUGCCCUCAGAUUUGUCACACACCUCCCAGACACUGCCUCUUCUGUCAGUAGUACUUACAUUUUUGUCUGCGUUUCUGCUGAUAAAAUUCAACUGAU